GUUCAUUCCCAUCGUGGCGAUUGCUGGAAGAACACAACCAGACGUCGUCGAACACGGACGAGCGGGCCUGACCCUUCGCAGCCUGUGGAGAACGUCACCUGCGAGCGUCACCUGGUGCGGAUAAAAUCACAUGGAUAUGGAGGCCACAAGAUAUCAUAUCAAGCAAAUUGUUGAGUAUCGAAUGGCCAAGUAUCGAAUAAAAUUGAAUGCUGACUCACUUCACCGGGAAUCGCUCUGAAAAUAAUUUAAAAAGUCCUUUCAACCACUGCUGCUCUGCUCACUGACCCCUUCACCAGGAAUCGCUCUGAAAAUAAUUUAAAAAAUACUUUCAACCACUGCUGCUCUGCUCACUGACCCCUUCACCAGGAAUCGCUCUGAAAAUAAUUUAAAAAAUACUUUCAACCACUGCUGCUCUGCUCACUGACCCCUUCACCAGGAAUCGCUCUGAAAAUAAUUUAAAAAGUCCUUUCAACCACUGCUGCUCUGUACACUGACCCCUACACCAGGAAUCGCUCUGAAAAUAAUUUAAAAAGUCCUUUCAACCACUGCUGCUCUACACACUGACCCCCUUCACCAGGAAUCGCUCUGAAAAUAAUUUAAAAAAUACUUUCAACCACUGCUGCUCUGCUCACUGACCCCUUCACCAGGAAUCGCUCUGAAAAUAAUUUAAAAAAUACUUUCAACCACUGCUGCUCUGCUCACGGACCCCUUCACCAGGAAUCGCUCUGAAAAUAAUUUGAAAAGUCCUUGCAACUACUGCUCUGCACACUGACCCCUUCACGAGGAAUCACUUUGAAAAUAAUCUAAAAAGUCCUUACAACUACUGCUGCUCUGCACUCACUACUUCGCCAGGAAUAUUUCCAGAAACAUUUUACCAGAUCUUCUCGAUCCAACUAUUACUGCCCUGAAGCUCUAACACGUGAAUGACUCGCAAGUGGUUUUUUUUAAUAACUGCCUAUAAUUAUGCAUGAUUAACUUAACUCUUAUUAACUCAAUAACAUGACUAACCUCACUAACUUAAGCAGUUAUUAUAAAUACCACUUGUUGAGUUUUACUAUGAAGAUUUUACUGAGGUUGCUUGGAAGACGGGGGUGAAUGAUUAAUCAGGGUAAACGACAACUUCAACCCAAGUGGUAAACUCUCAAGUUGCUCAUGAGUGAGAACAAUCAUUUCAUCUACUAAUUAUGCUGUCCGUCCGUCCGUCUUGUCACCAAAGAAGAUGCCUACUG